GCAGUCGUGGCCGAGUGGUUAAUGCGAUGGACUCGAAAUCGAUUGGGGUCUCCACGCACAUUUCCGAAUCCUGUCGACUGCG
rfam:Ixodes scapularis strain Wikel colony gcontig_1108378794348, whole genome shotgun sequence.